rnacentral:rRNA from 1 species
GGUUAAGCGACUAAGCGUACACGGUGGAUGCCCUGGCAGUCAGAGGCGAUGAAGGACGUGCUAAUCUGCGAUAAGCGUCGGUAAGGUGAUAUGAACCGUUAUAACCGGCGAUUUCCGAAUGGGGAAACCCAGUGUGAUUCGUCACACUAUCAUUAACUGAAUCCAUAGGUUAAUGAGGCGAACCGGGGGAACUGAAACAUCUAAGUACCCCGAGGAAAAGAAAUCAACCGAGAUUCCCCCAGUAGCGGCGAGCGAACGGGGAGCAGCCCAGAGCCUGAAUCAGUGUGUGUGUUAGUGGAAGCGUCUGGAAAGGCGCGCGAUACAGGGUGACAGCCCCGUACACAAAAAUGCACAUACUGUGAGCUCGAUGAGUAGGGCGGGACACGUGGUAUCCUGUCUGAAUAUGGGGGGACCAUCCUCCAAGGCUAAAUACUCCUGACUGACCGAUAGUGAACCAGUACCGUGAGGGAAAGGCGAAAAGAACCCCGGCGAGGGGAGUGAAAAAGAACCUGAAACCGUGUACGUACAAGCAGUGGGAGCACAGAGCAAUCUGUGUGACUGCGUACCUUUUGUAUAAUGGGUCAGCGACUUAUAUUCUGUAGCAAGGUUAACCGAAUAGGGGAGCCGAAGGGAAACCGAGUCUUAACUGGGCGUUAAGUUGCAGGGUAUAGACCCGAAACCCGGUGAUCUAGCCAUGGGCAGGUUGAAGGUUGGGUAACACUAACUGGAGGACCGAACCGACUAAUGUUGAAAAAUUAGCGGAUGACUUGUGGCUGGGGGUGAAAGGCCAAUCAAACCGGGAGAUAGCUGGUUCUCCCCGAAAGCUAUUUAGGUAGCGCCUCGUGAAUUCAUCUCCGGGGGUAGAGCACUGUUUCGGCAAGGGGGUCAUCCCGACUUACCAACCCGAUGCAAACUGCGAAUACCGGAGAAUGUUAUCACGGGAGACACACGGCGGGUGCUAACGUCCGUCGUGAAGAGGGAAACAACCCAGACCGCCAGCUAAGGUCCCAAAGUCAUGGUUAAGUGGGAAACGAUGUGGGAAGGCCCAGACAGCCAGGAUGUUGGCUUAGAAGCAGCCAUCAUUUAAAGAAAGCGUAAUAGCUCACUGGUCGAGUCGGCCUGCGCGGAAGAUGUAACGGGGCUAAACCAUGCACCGAAGCUGCGGCAGCGACGCUUAUGCGUUGUUGGGGAGCGUUCUGUAAGCCUGUGAAGGUGUACUGUGAGGUAUGCUGGAGGUAUCAGAAGUGCGAAUGCUGACAUAAGUAACGAUAAAGCGGGUGAAAAGCCCGCUCGCCGGAAGACCAAGGGUUCCUGUCCAACGUUAAUCGGGGCAGGGUGAGUCGACCCCUAAGGCGAGGCCGAAAGGCGUAGUCGAUGGGAAACAGGUUAAUAUUCCUGUACUUGGUGUUACUGCGAAGGGGGGACGGAGAAGGCUAUGUUGGCCGGGCGACGGUUGUCCCGGUUUAAGCGUGUAGGCUGGUUUUCCAGGCAAAUCCGGAAAAUCAAGGCUGAGGCGUGAUGACGAGGCACUACGGUGCUGAAGCAACAAAUGCCCUGCUUCCAGGAAAAGCCUCUAAGCAUCAGGUAACAUCAAAUCGUACCCCAAACCGACACAGGUGGUCAGGUAGAGAAUACCAAGGCGCUUGAGAGAACUCGGGUGAAGGAACUAGGCAAAAUGGUGCCGUAACUUCGGGAGAAGGCACGCUGAUAUGUAGGUGAAGUCCUUCGCGGAUGGAGCUGAAAUCAGUCGAAGAUACCAGCUGGCUGCAACUGUUUAUUAAAAACACAGCACUGUGCAAACACGAAAGUGGACGUAUACGGUGUGACGCCUGCCCGGUGCCGGAAGGUUAAUUGAUGGGGUCAGCGCAAGCGAAGCUCUUGAUCGAAGCCCCGGUAAACGGCGGCCGUAACUAUAACGGUCCUAAGGUAGCGAAAUUCCUUGUCGGGUAAGUUCCGACCUGCACGAAUGGCGUAAUGAUGGCCAGGCUGUCUCCACCCGAGACUCAGUGAAAUUGAACUCGCUGUGAAGAUGCAGUGUACCCGCGGCAAGACGGAAAGACCCCGUGAACCUUUACUAUAGCUUGACACUGAACAUUGAGCCUUGAUGUGUAGGAUAGGUGGGAGGCUUUGAAGUGUGGACGCCAGUCUGCAUGGAGCCGACCUUGAAAUACCACCCUUUAAUGUUUGAUGUUCUAACGUUGACCCGUAAUCCGGGUUGCGGACAGUGUCUGGUGGGUAGUUUGACUGGGGCGGUCUCCUCCUAAAGAGUAACGGAGGAGCACGAAGGUUGGCUAAUCCUGGUCGGACAUCAGGAGGUUAGUGCAAUGGCAUAAGCCAGCUUGACUGCGAGCGUGACGGCGCGAGCAGGUGCGAAAGCAGGUCAUAGUGAUCCGGUGGUUCUGAAUGGAAGGGCCAUCGCUCAACGGAUAAAAGGUACUCCGGGGAUAACAGGCUGAUACCGCCCAAGAGUUCAUAUCGACGGCGGUGUUUGGCACCUCGAUGUCGGCUCAUCACAUCCUGGGGCUGAAGUAGGUCCCAAGGGUAUGGCUGUUCGCCAUUUAAAGUGGUACGCGAGCUGGGUUUAGAACGUCGUGAGACAGUUCGGUCCCUAUCUGCCGUGGGCGCUGGAGAACUGAGGGGGGCUGCUCCUAGUACGAGAGGACCGGAGUGGACGCAUCACUGGUGUUCGGGUUGUCAUGCCAAUGGCACUGCCCGGUAGCUAAAUGCGGAAGAGAUAAGUGCUGAAAGCAUCUAAGCACGAAACUUGCCCCGAGAUGAGUUCUCCCUGACUCCUUGAGAGUCCUGAAGGAACGUUGAAGACGACGACGUUGAUAGGCCGGGUGUGUAAGCGCAGCGAUGCGUUGAGCUAACCGGUACUAAUGAACCGUGAGGCUUAACCUU